CAUGUGUAACCUUGAUUGUUUUCAUUUCUAGGAACUGUAAUGUGCGUACUUCGCAGUCGUCGUUCCUCUUGAGGAAACAAAGCUAUUCGGAGCUUCUAACCUUGGAUUAAAAUUGCACAGUUGACUGGUGGAAAAUUCAAUGUAUAUUAGACUGAUCAUGUGCAACACAAAGAAAUCUCAGGAAACGGGAGAGCAAAUAAUGCGGAUGAAAUGUACUGCGAUCUGGUCCCAUCAACUGCCAACUAAUCAGUUGUUCCUGUCCUAAAGGAUGAAAAUGUGCAACAGGAAAAGAAGCAAAACCUUGAUGAGUGAGAGUUUGAAAAAACAUAUGAGAUUGAUUCGGUCAAGGCUGCGAUUAAAUCUGUCUAUUUGCACGAGCAAUGUUUAGAUGUAGAAUGUAGGAUGUAGGAAAUUACUGUGUAAAAGAUAAUGUACACUGAGAGCAAAAUUUAGUAAAUAUGACGAAUUUUUUGGUAUAUGCCACCAAUUCUCUAGUCAUUUUCUACCCUACUAAUCAUUGGUACAUGUUACGAAAGAAAAAUGGUAGGAAAAAAUGUCAAACAAACUGCGAUUUGUUGGUCCAACAUUGGUUGAAUAUCAGUGAAAAUGUUGCUUCUCAUUUGUGAUGAAUACCUAUCAGGGAUUAUGAAAAUAUUUUUUAAUAAUUAUUUUUAAUUCAAAAAAUGUAUUUGAUUACAUUUAACUCCACAUACUUAGAAUACAUUAUACUAAUAACAUAUAACUUAUUCUAUAAACAGUAUCAAUUAUUCUACAAUAUAAAAAUUAUCAUUGUGAAUAACAAUAACAGUACUUAAUAACAUCAAUUAUUCUAUGAGCAGCGUACAAGGGGAAAAUUACUAUCGCAGCCUCAACCACAUCAAUUUCAUAUGCAUUUCCAAAGUCUCGAGUACUCGAAAAAGUUUCCGUUCCUCUUCCUGCUGCAUCGCUCUGAUUUGCAUUAUUUAGGGACGGAGAUAGCUGAUUAACAAAGUGUCGGUAGCACAGCGUUUCAUCCGUAUUUUGUUCUCUCGUGUCCCCAUGAACAAAGGAAAAACAUAUGUUAAUAAUAUUAAAUAUGUAUACAUGUAAUGAAACAUAACAUCAACAAAAUGCUCACCUCCGAAUAUCUAUCUUCGUCUCCAAAAGAGAAAUGGCAAUUGCAAAGUGCGCGCUUCACAGCUGUUACCCUUAGAAAAAUCCUCGGUCGAAAACUACUAAAUACAUUUGGUAAUGCAAAAUUAGUAGAAUGUACAAUUUUUUUGUACAUAUUGUCAACAAACCCGCAUCACUACCAGAGAUUAGUAUAUUUUACUCGAUAACAUUAGUAAGCUUGGAUAUUGUCAUAUCUGAAAAUUGGUGAGAAAAGCGCGUAUUAACCAUUUUCAUUGUUCCCAUAAGGCAAUACGGAGGUAUAAUAAGGAUAUAAUUCUGAUACGUGCAUUUUCGGCGAGAAAAUGUAGCCGAUAUUGGGCUUCCGAAUCAUGGUUCUGCUUGACAUAUGUGUUUAUUAGUACGGUCGAAAAUGACUAUAGAUUGGUAGUAUUUACAAAAAGAAAACGUUAUAUCUACUAAUUAUUUCUCUCAGUGUAGGUAUGACAAAACAAACAAGGUUACUAAUGGUAUGAAGUAACAUAUACGAAUCCUUGGUAAGAACGUUCAUUGCGUCUGACACCACUUUUACGCGAUUUUGGUAAUAUUUACAAAAAAAAUGUAUAUUUUACCAAUGUUUUGGCUACUAAAGAUUUGGUAGCUGCUUUUACUAAACUAUUUCUCCAGUGUAUGAUUGAAGACAGCUUUAUAAAUAAGAAUUAAUUAUCAACAACAUAAUGUCAUUAUCCCUUAUCAUUAUCUCUUACAAAUAAAAAAACAACGUUUUCACACUGGAGAAAUUGUUUAGUAAAAGCAGCUACCAAAUCUUUAGUAGCCAAAACAUUGGUAAAUUAUACAAAUGUUUUGUAAAUAUUACCAAAAUUGCGUAAAAGCGAUGUCAGACGCAAUGAACGUUCCUACCAGAGAUUCGUAGAUUUUACUUCAUACCAUUAGUAACUUUGUUAUUUUGUCAUACCUAACAUCUGUGAUGUGCGCACUUUGCAAAUCGCCAUUUCUAUUUUGGAGAUGAAGCGAUUCGGAGAGACACGAGAGAACAAAAUGCGGAUGAAACGUGCUGGUGCUACCGACACUCCCUACAUAAUGCUAACUAGGGGCUGUCCACAUACCACGUGGACAACUUUAGGGGGGGUAGGGGUUACGAGA